CAGACCUGAAAUCAGGCGAGGUUACCCGCUGAACUUAAGCAUAUUAUUAAGCGGAGGAGAAGAAAAUAACUAUGAUUCCCUUAGUAACGGCGAGUGAACCGGGAUCAGCUCAAAGUGGAAAUCAACUGCUCUUUCCGAGCUGUUGACUUGUAGCCUCGAGAGGCGUUACCAGUGGAAGCGCAGGGUUAAGUUUCUUGGGAAAGAACAUCAUAGAGGGUGAGAAUCCCGUCCUUCCCCUGCGUUUUUUGUUCCACGUACGGUACGCUUUUAUAGAGUCGCGUUCAUCGGGAUUUGAGCGCAAAAUGUGUGGUAGGUUUCACAUAAAGCUAAGUACUGGCGCGAGACCGAUAGCAAAC
rnacentral:rRNA from 1 species